rnacentral:rRNA from 1 species
CCUACGGGAGGCAGCAGUGAGGAAUAUUGGUCAAUGGGCGCGAGCCUGAACCAGCCAAGUAGCGUGAAGGAUGACUGCCCUACGGGUUGUAAACUUCUUUUAUAAAGGAAUAAAGUGAGGCACGUGUGCCUUUUUGUAUGUACUUUAUGAAUAAGGAUCGGCUAACUCCGUGCCAGCAGCCGCGGUAAUACGGAGGAUCCGAGCGUUAUCCGGAUUUAUUGGGUUUAAAGGGGGCGUAGAUGGGUUGGUAAGUUAGUUGUGAAAGUGUGCGGCUCAACCUUAGAAUUGCAAUUGAUACUGGCAGUCUAGAGUACAGUUGAGGUAGGCGGAAUGUGUGGUGUAGCGGUGAAAUGCUUAGAGAUCACGAAGAACUCCGAUUGCGAAGGCAGCUUACUAAACUGCCACUGACAUUGAUGCUCGAAAGUGUGGGUAUCAAACAGGAUUAGAUACCCGAGUAUUC